GAUCCUGGCUCAGGAUGAACGCUAGCUACAGGCUUAACACAUGCAAGUCGAGGGGCAGCAUGGUCUUAGCUUGCUAAGGCCGAUGGCGACCGGCGCACGGGUGAGUAACGCGUAUCCAACCUGCCUUACACUCUUGGACAGCCUUCUGAAAGGGAGAUUAAUACAAGAUGUUAUCAUGAGUAAGCAUUUUCGANUGUAAGUUUAACGGUUCGUAG
rnacentral:rRNA from 1 species